GCCCUGCUGGCUCAAAGGUUACAGCAUCGCCCUCCUAUUAUAAUAAAUUUAAAAAAAACAUUUAUAGUGGAGUUUUGCUAGGCGAAGACUCCGGGUUCGAGUCCCGGGCAGGGUU